ACGACAAUUGAGAGCCUAGCGUAGGGCGUUUUGUCUCCAAUCGGCUCGCUAGCAUUGCCGUCUCUGAAUCUCCUCCUUUGAUGUUCUGAACCGAGACUGAGUCGUCGCGAACGUCUAAGGCGACAGAAGGUCCUGGUAACGGACCGCUGAAGGCAACUCGUUUGGAGCUCCCUGUGCUCUCUGUGUCUGACCAUGAAUCUGCAGUCAAAGAGGAGCAAGGGGCUUACCGACUUGAAUGCUUAACAUUGUCGGGCGUUUCCACCAUCGUAAGACAAUGCGGUCACAAAUUAGGAUUGCAUGCGCGGACAACUCGGGUGCCUCGUCGGAGUUCUCGCAAUUUAGUGUUUAAAAUUUAUUCGCUUUUAAAAGAUAAUUUUCAUUUAAACAAACGAGAGUUAUUAUUUAAUAACAAUUUUUAUUGGUUUGUGAGUAAAAAUUCUCGAGUCCAUUAAAGUAUGAAUGAAUGGAAGAACUUUUUAUUCUCAUAGUUGUCGUAUUUUGGUUGUCAAUAUAGAAGUGUGUCCCACAUCGGAAACUUGGGAAGUUGGAGCCAACUAAUAUCAAAUGCACUUUUACGUUCCUUUGCUUCCCAUUAUUCAGUCCUCAAAUUUCUCCUCUUUUGCCUUUUUCCCUUUCAUCCUCUUCACAUUUUGCUUUCAUUUCUUCCUUUCAUAACCACAUACAUACCUCUCUUAUAACUACAAUCUUAAAAGAUCAUCAUUAACUCAAUAAACCCAUUGUUUAACGAUUUAUAGAAUGGUCUAGGGAGAUGAAGCUUUUAGAAUUGAGAAUUGUGAGAUC